rnacentral:rRNA from 1 species
CCUACGGGAGGCAGCAGUGGGGAAUUUUCCGCAAUGGGCGCAAGCCUGACGGAGCAACGCCGCGUGAGGGAUGAAGGCCUUUGGGCUGUAAACCUCUUUUCUCAAGGAAGAACAUCUGACGGUACUUGAGGAAUAAGCCACGGCUAAUUCCGUGCCAGCAGCCGCGGUAAUACGGGAGUGGCAAGCGUUAUCCGGAAUUAUUGGGCGUAAAGCGUCCGCAGGCGGCCGUUUAAGUCUGUUGUUAAAUCGUGGAGCUCAACUCCAUCACGGCAAUGGAAACUGUUCGGCUUGAGUAUGGUAGGGGCAGAGGGAAUUUCCGGUGUAGCGGUGAAAUGCGUAGAUAUCGGGAAGAACACCAGUGGCAAAAGCGCUCUGCUGGGCCAUUACUGACGCUCAUGGACGAAAGCCAGGGGAGCGAAAGGGAUUAGAUACCCCUGUAGUCCUGGCCGUAAACGAUGAACACUAGAUGUUGGGGGAAUCGACCCCUCCAGUGUCGUAGCUAACGCGUUAAGUGUUCCGCCUGGGGAGUACGCACGCAAGUGUGAAACUCAAAUGAAUUGACGG